rnacentral:lncRNA from 1 species
CUAUAUGAUCUGGGUUUGUGUAAGUACAUGCUAUGAUGUUUGCAAAGUGGCAAAAUUGCCUAACAAUGCGUUUCCCAGAAUGUCUCCUCAUCAUUAAGCUAAGUGUAACUGUACAUUUGUACAGGAUGUCAAAUAAAAAUGAUAGUGUCAUACUUUAGCAUAAAUAACAACGAAAUAGGAAUUAGGGCAUGAAAGAUCUCUGAGCCUCAGUUUCCUCAUUAUAAAGUAAAAGCGAUGUUUCCGUAUGAUUCUGUUCCUUCUCUGUAAAAUAAUAAUAGUACAUCGCACAUAGUACUUCAGUGGAAGAUGAAUUCUAGGGGAAAUAUACUACAGUCUGUAUUAUAGAACUUUUUUAAAAAUUUGGAAUAAUUUGGAUUCCAAGUGUAAUUAUGUCCAUUAUCAAUGCAAGAUCUUGGGCAAAAGUGUAAAUAACAAUAAUAGCUAACACAAAGUGCUCCGUUUUGUGUCACUCUACCACUAUCAGCAAAGCUCACCCACUGCGCCACCUAGGCUGCUGCUUCGGGUGUACUUCCCCACAGCUCCUCAUUGCUCACAUAUGGCAUUGCUGUCAAACACACAGAACCCACUGUCACCCUCAAAUGCUGGAAACUUGCCAGCAGGAAAUUUGCGGAGAAAUUCAGGCGUGCAGUUGAUUAGAGUUAAAAGUAUGUGUAUGUCCAUCUUAUCUACCAAACUAGGCUCUCUUUGAGUAUAUAGAUUGUGUAUUGCAUGUUACUCACCAGCAUAUAUUAGGUAGACAAUAAAUAUUUAUUAAAUUAGAGAAAACUCUUUCCUAUAAAGGUAUUCAUAAUAUUCUUUGCAGCCUUGGAAAUCAAAUUAUAGUUAAGGAUUCUUAUAACACUAUAUGUCAACUUGAAAAAAUAUUACAAGAUUAAUAACAUAUUAGCUCAGUGUAAUAAAAGAAGAAUUUGCAGUUACAAAGCCUAUAUUCAAAAUUACCUUAUCAUUUUCAGCAAUGACAGUGAAACAGUCAGUGUGCUAAGUAGUGAGAAUUGAAAAAUAAAUAAGAAAGGAUCACUAGAAUCUUCAAUUCAAAAAUGUAUGUGGUCAUCUAUAUUUAUGAUGUCUACUCAAACUUUACUCAAAUACUUAUGAAAAUACUUAUGAAAAAAUGAUAGUUUCACGAUUACCAAUUAUUAGGACUAAUAAAAAUCAAUAUCAGUAUCUAGAAUGAAAUGAAUAUGAACUGAUAAAUUUUCACUGUCAGUUAAUGUCAUAUCUUGCCGUUGUUUCACAAAAUAAAUUCAGUCUGCAAUAACAUGGAAUAUGCUUUAAGUUUCUGAGAAAAAUUAUUUUAAAUUUAAAUUCUAUACCUAUCAAUAACAGGAAAGCCAUCUCUAAAGGAAGCUCCUGGCAAACUAGCUAAAAUCAUCUUUAUUAAAAGUAAACUUUGUGCAAAGAGAACUUUCACUUCCCAAUAUUUCCAGGAAAAACAAGCAUCAAUACCUCUUCUGAAGGCACCAACAUGAUUCAUAUUUCUGAAUCAAUCACUGUGGCCAAGAAAAUUAAAUGAGUUAGUUAGUCAGACAGGUUACAUCUCCAUCCAUGAAGAGACAGCAGUAAGGUCAAGAGGUCACACAUACCUAAACCCCAUGGACUAACAGUGGGCCCUUCCAAGUAUAAUCAGGUUACUGGUAUAUGAAGAAAAUAAAAGAGAUGCUGAAAAAAAAAUUAAAAUGCAGGUUCACUAUAGAAUAAGGAUGGAGAAAACCUCAAAAUCAGUAUUAGUCUAUGAUCUCCCUUCAACAUUAUUCUUUACUAAGAAUAUGUUGAUUAUUGUGCUAUCAGGUGUUCUAGAUAUGGCAAAUAAUAUCUUAUUAUAAUUAUGAAUACAGGUUUGACCUCAUAGACUCCAUGGAAUUACAUUAAAAAGCUUCAGGAAUACAUAAACUAUUUU